UAGAUUGAAGCCAGUUGUUUAGGGUAUUUAGCUGUUAACUAAAAUUUCGUGGGAUGAUAGCCCACCAAUCUAG
rnacentral:tRNA from 1 species